rnacentral:rRNA from 1 species
GUCUAUGGCCAUGCCACCCUGAAUGUGUCCGAUCCCAUCUGAUCUUGGAAGCUAAGCAGGGUCGGGCCUGGUUAGUACUUGGAUGGGAGACCACUCAGGAAUUCCAGGUGCUGUAGGUG